rnacentral:rRNA from 1 species
UACUAGAGUAGCACUCGCAUAUCAAUAAGCGGAGGAAAAGAAACUAACAAGGAUUCCCCUAGUAACGGCGAGUGAAGCGGGAAGAGCUCAAAUUUGAAAUCUUAAAGGGUUUCCCCUUACGAAUUGUAGUUUAAAGAAGUGUUUUCUGUUGAGGUUUUGGUAAAAGUUCUUUGGAAUAGGACAUCAUAGAGGGUGAGAAUCCCGUAUUUGACCUUUACUUUCAACUUUGUGAUACACUUUCAAAGAGUCGGAUUGUUUGGGAAUGCAGUCCAAAAUGGGUGGUAAAUUUCAUCUAAAGCUAAAUAUUGGCGAGAGACCGAUAGCGAACAAGUACCGUGAGGGAAAGAUGAAAAGAACUUUGAAAAGAGAGUUAAACAGUACGUGAAAUUGUCAAAAGGGAAGCGUUUGACACCAGUGUUGUUUUUCUGAAAAUCAAUUAAAGAACUGUUUAUGCUAAGCUGUUUAGACUUUAUCAGCUAAUCUGUUUAGUUUUGAGCUUUUCUUUAAUGCACUUUUCAGUUAACAAGUCAACAUCAAUUUCUUUUGCUGUAAAAAAGCUUGAGGAAGGUGGCUUGAGAUUCGUCUUAAGUGUUUAUAGCCUCUUGCCUAUGCAGUCGGAGAGAUUGAGGUCUGCAGCGUAGAUCCUUCGGGGCUAAAUGCAUUUGUGCUAAGUUAUAGCAUUUUAUAGACAACUUGUUGACUAUGAUUUGUCUUGUAGCUUACUCGCUUAUGUUAUUUUACCUACGCUUAGGAUGUUGAGUCAUCACACAUCUCU